UACGAAGGGGGCUAGCGUUGUUCGGAAUUACUGGGCGUAAAGCGCGCGCAGGCGGCCAUUCAAGUCAGGGGUGAAAGCCCAGAGCUCAACUCUGGAACUGCCCUUGAAACUGUAUGGCUUGAGUAUGAGAGAGGUGAGUGGAAUUCCGAGUGUAGAGGUGAAAUUCGUAGAUAUUCGGAGGAACAACCAGUGGCGAAGGCGGCUCACUGGCUCGGUACUGACGCUGAGGUGCGAAAGCGUGGGGAGCAAACAGG
rnacentral:rRNA from 1 species